rnacentral:tRNA from 1 species
GGGUGGUUAGUUUAAUGGUAAAAUAUCCCGUUCACAUCGGGAAGAGCAUAGGUUCGAUUCCUAUACUACCCA